GACGGAGGAUGCAAGUGUUAUCCGGAAUUACUGGGCGUAAAGCGUCUGUAGGUUGUUUAAUAAGUCAACUGUUAAAUCUUGAGGCUCAACUUCAAAAUCGCAGUCGAAACUAUUAAACUAGAGUAUAGUAGAGGUAAAGGGAAUUUCCAGUGGAGCGGUGAAAUGCGUAGAUAUUGGACAGAACACCGAUGGCGAAGGCACUUUACUGGGCUAUUACUGACACUCAGAGACGAAAGCUAGGGUAGCAAAUGGG
rnacentral:rRNA from 1 species